GCCAGUGUGGCAUAGUGGUUUGAGUGUUAGAAUACAACUUUGGAAUCCAGGGUUCAAUUCUAUGCUCUGCA